rnacentral:rRNA from 1 species
AGAGUUUGAUCAUGGCUCAGGAUGAACGCUAGCUACAGGCUUAACACAUGCAAGUCGAGGGGCAUCAGUUUGGUUUGCUUGCAAACCAAAGCUGGCGACCGGCGCACGGGUGAGUAACACGUAUCCAACCUGCCUCAUACUCGGGGAUAGCCUUUCGAAAGGAAGAUUAAUAUCCGAUAGCAUAUAUUUCCCGCAUGGGUUUUAUAUUAAAGAAAUUCGGUAUGAGAUGGGGAUGCGUUCCAUUAGUUUGUUGGCGGGGUAACGGCCCACCAAGGCAACGAUCAGUAGGGGUUCUGAGAGGAAGGUCCCCCACAUUGGAACUGAGACACGGUCCAAACUCCUACGGGAGGCAGCA